AUUCGCCCAGUGAUAUUUAUUUUUAAAUGGCCGCAGUACCUUGACUGUGCUAAGGUAGCAUAAUCAAUUGGCUUCUAAUUAAAGUCUAGAAUGAAAGGAAAAAUGAAGUAAUUCUGUCUUAAAAAUUUUUUUUUGAAUUUAUUUAAAUGAUGAAAAUAUCAUUUUUUAGAAAAAAGACGAGAAGACCCUUAGAGUUUUUAUAUUUUUUUUUGUUGGGGCGACAAGUAAACAAUUAAACUUUACUAUUUUAUUAAAUCGAUUUAUUAAUAAAAGUAAUUAAACUACCUUAGGGAUAACAGCAUUAUAUUUUUUAUGAUUGUGACCUCGAUGUUGGACUAGGAACUUUAUAACUAGCCGUUAGAAAAGAUUUGUUCUGUUCGAACAAUUU
rnacentral:rRNA from 1 species